rnacentral:rRNA from 1 species
GGGGGGGGGGGGGGGGGGGGGGGGGGGGGGGGGGGCGGGGGGGCGGGGGGGGGGCUGGCGGGUCUGGUGUGAGCGGCGGACGGGGGAGUGGGGCGUGGGGAACCGACCUAGAAGACUGGGGUAACUGCGGGGAACCGGAGCUCGGACCGGAUACCUCUUUGAACCUCUUGGUUCAAAAGUCCAAGACGGUCGUGGUGUCACUCUUAGAUGGAUCCGCGCUGCGUUAGCUAGUUGGUAAGGUAACGGCUUACCAAGGCAACGAUGCAUAGCCGACCUGAGAGGGUGAUCGGCCACACUGGAACUGAGACACGGUCCAGACUCCUACGGGAGGCAGCAGUAGGGAAUCUUCCGCAAUGGGCGAAAGCCUGACGGAGCAACGCCGCGUGAGUGAUGAAGGUCUUCGGAUCGUAAAACUCUGUUAUUAGGGAAGAACAUAUGUGUAAGUAACUGUGCACAUCUUGACGGUACCUAAUCAGAAAGCCACGGCUAACUACGUG